AACGAACGCUGGCGGCAUGCCUAACACAUGCAAGUCGAACGAGACCUUCGGGUCUAGUGGCGCACGGGUGCGUAACGCGUGGGAACCUGCCCUUAGGUUCGGAAUAACUCCCCGACAGGGGUGCUAAUACCGGAUAAUUUCUUCGGACCAAAGAUUUAUCGACUUUGGAUGGGCCCGCGUUGGAUUAGCUAGUUGGUAGGGUAAAAGCCUACCAAGGCGACGAUCCAUAGCUGGUCAGAGAGGAAGGUCAGCCACACUGGGACUGAGACACGGCCCAGACUCCUACGGGAGGCAGCAGUGGGGAAUAUUGGACAAUGGGCGAAAGCCUGAUCCAGCAAUGCCGCGUGAGUGAUGAAGGCCGUAGGGUUGUAAAGCUCUUUUACCCGGGAUGAUAAUGACAGUACCGGGAGAAUAAGCUCCGGCUAACUCCGUG
rnacentral:rRNA from 1 species